rnacentral:tRNA from 1 species
CGGGGCGUAGCGUAGUGGCUAGCGCGCCUGCUUUGGGAGCAGGAGAUCGCAGGUUCGAGUCCUGUCGCCCCGACCAGCU